AGUGAACGCUGGCGGUAGGCCUAACACAUGCAAGUCGAACGGCAGCACAGUAAGAGCUUGCUCUUACGGGUGGCGAGUGGCGGACGGGUGAGGAAUACAUCGGAAUCUACUUUUUCGUGGGGGAUAACGUAGGGAAACUUACGCUCAUACCGCAUACGACCUACGGGUGAAAGCAGGGGAUCUUCGGACCUUGCGCGAUUGAAUGAGCCGAUGUCGGAUUAGCUAGUUGGCGGGGUAAAGGCCCACCAAGGCGACGAUCCGUAGCUGGUCUGAGAGGAUGAUCAGCCACACUGGAACUGAGACACGGUCCAGACUCCUACGGGAGGCAGCAGUGGGGAAUAUUGGACAAUGGGCGCAAGCCUGAUCCAGCCAUACCGCGUGGGUGAAGAAGGCCUUCGGGUUGUAAAGCCCUUUUGUUGGGAAAGAAAAGCAGCAGGUUAAUACCCCGCUGUUCUGACGGUACCCAAGGAAUAAGCACCGGCUAACUUCGUG
rnacentral:rRNA from 1 species